GACGAACGCUGGCGGCGUGUUUAACACAUGCAAGUCGUACGGUAAGGCCCUUUCGGGGGUACACGAGUGGCGAACGGGUGAGUAACACGUGAGUAACCUGCCCACAACUUUGGGAUAACGCUAGGAAACUGGUGCUAAUACUGGAUAUGUGCUCCUGCUGCAUGGUGGGGGUUGGAAAGCUCCGGCGGUUGUGGAUGGACUCGCGGCCUAUCAGCUUGUUGGUGGGGUAGUGGCCUACCAAGGCGGCGACGGGUAGCCGGCCUGAGAGGGUGACCGGCCACAUUGGGACUGAGAUACGGCCCAGACUCCUACGGGAGGCAGCAGUGGGGAAUAUUGCACAAUGGGCGCAAGCCUGAUGCAGCAACGCCGCGUGCGGGAUGACGGCCUUCGGGUUGUAAACCGCUUUCAGCAGGGACGAAGCUUUUUGUGACGGUACCUGCAGAAGAAGCACCGGCUAACUACGUG
rnacentral:rRNA from 1 species